UACAGGGGGUGCAAACGUUGCUCGGAAUCAUUGGGCGUAAAGCGCACGUAGGCGGUCUGUUAUGUCGGAUGUGAAAGCCCUUGGCUCAACUGAGGAAGUGCAUCCGAAACUGGCAGGCUAGAGUACUAAAGAGGGUCGCGGAAUUCCCGGUGUAGAGGUGAAAUUCGUAGAUAUCGGGAGGAACACCGGUGGCGAAGGCGGCGACCUGGGUAGAUACUGACGCUGAGGUGCGAAAGCGUGGAGAGCAAACAGG
rnacentral:rRNA from 1 species